UUCGUUUCAAUUGUUGUUACGAUAGGAGGUGAGUGUUUUGUUGUUGUGGGGUUCCUUCGUUUCGGUUAUUAGGUUUGUUUGUUGUAGGAUUUGUUAAAUCAAUCAUUUAGGUUGGUAAUUUUCCAGUUAUUAAUUCAUAUUAUUCAUCAAUUCAGGUAUUGGAAUAUUCAAUUUUGAGCGCGCAUUGGAUUUUUUACAAAGGUCUGUAACUAAAAUCUGAGAAAACAGCGAACGACGGAAGCCGAAAAAGGGAACUAUCGAUACCACACAGCCGCGUGCCAGGUCGUGUGUGACAGGUUAUGUGCUGGACCGUGUGAGACAUACGAUCUAGGACAAUUGGGUCGUGUGGGCUACACAGGUGUGUGUGAGCCACACGGGCUGGCCAAGUAAGCCGCUUGUAUGGG
rnacentral:lncRNA from 1 species